rnacentral:rRNA from 1 species
UACGUAGGGUGCGAGCGUUGUCUGGAAUUAUUGGGCGUAAAGAGCUCGUAGGCGGUGUGUCACGUCGGCCGUGAAAACCUGCAGCUUAACUGUGGGCGUGCGGUCGAUACGGGCAUCACUGGAGUUCGGCAGGGGAGACUGGAAUUCCUGGUGUAGCGGUGAAAUUCGUAGAUAUCGGGAGGAACACCGGUGGCGAAGGCGGCGACCUGGGUCGAGACUGACGCUGAGGCGCGAAAGCGUGGGGAGCAAACAGG